rnacentral:rRNA from 1 species
AGCAGUAGGGAAUCUUCGGCAAUGGGCGGAAGCCUGACCGAGCAAUGCCGCGUGAACGAAGAAGUUAUUCGUAAUGUAAAGUUCUUUUAUCAGGGAAGAAAAAACAAAUUGACGGUACCUGAUGAAUAAGCUCCGGCUAACUACGUGCCAGCAGCCGCGGUAAUACGUAGGGAGCGAGCGUUAUCCGGAAUUAUUGGGCGUAAAGGGUGCGUAGAUGGCACAUUAAGUUUCUUGUAAAAUUGCUGGGCUCAACCCAGUAGUGCAAGAGAUACUGAUGAGCUAGAGUACGAGAGAGGCAAGUGGAAUUCCAUGUGUAACGGUGGAAU